rnacentral:tRNA from 1 species
AAGACAUUAGUAAAGUGAAUUACACCACCUUGUCAAGGUGGAAUCGCGGGUUAAAACCCCGCAUGUCUUA